rnacentral:tRNA from 1 species
GUCAGUAUGGCAGAAUAGUGCAAUGAACUUAAAAUUCAUACAUGGAUAUUAAUUAUUCUACUGAAA